UUUCUCUCCCCGUUCCCCAUUCUCCCAUGGUGGCCACACCCCUCACUCCACAGCCGGCCCUCUUCGUCACCAAUGCCGGCGCUCCCUGGUCUGGCCGCCACUCACCUUCGUCACCACUGUCGGUGCUUCCUGGUCAGUCUGCGGCUCCCCUUCGCAGCAGCUGCUCUUCCUCCCCUUCAUGUGGAAUCGCUCAAGGAAGUGGCCGAGGAGGCCCUCGAGCUCGGCAUGCUCGCGCCAGCGCUAGGCGCCGGCGGAGGUGGACGUGGAGGUGUGGCACUCGCACGCGCCUGCUCUACCCUGCACCUUCUCCGAAUCCGUUCGCCGAAGUGCUCGAGAAGGCGCUUGAGGUCGGCAUGCUCGCCGGCGACGCUGGGCCCCUCCCUCCUCCUGAUGCCCUCUCCGUCGCCGCCUUGAGCCUCUCCACCCUCUCCCGUGCGGUCGUCUGGGUCCAGAUUGCUGCACCUUCUGGUUGUGAGUGGAUCCAAGAGUCAGCAUGAUACAGUAUCUUUUCAAAAGAUGAUAGAUUAUCUUCAUGAAAGAAAGAAAGUUGGAGAAUUAUCAUUGAAGAGGAAUUCAGUGUCAUGUGUUUCUCAAGAGCUAAAAUGGAACAAGAAGUGCAAAACUCGCAAUUCUUUUUGUAAUACUAUUAAGCUCAUCAUGGUGGUUACCAUGAAUGAGUGUCUGGUUUAAUCUCUAGAAAAUUUCCCGAGGGAGGAAAAGGAGGUGCUGAAAGGGGAUGGGAGCAACAAGUAUAAAUCGAAGAGUGUUCUGCGACAACUCAAGUCACCUUCAUAAAUUCUGGAAGCCAACUGUUUUGACACCAGGCCAAGGAGAUAGAGUGCAUUAUUUAGUCAGUUACAAAAAUGCAGUAGCCAAAAACACUAACCAUUUUCCACAUAAAAAACCAUUAAUUACCGUUCCCUCUCCAUUUGCCUCUUCAGAUCCUUAGGGUCUACAUCUAUGAUACAUUCUAGUUAGUUUAGCAUCUCACCAGUUAUCUGAAUAAUACAUAAGCAUCCAGUACAAGGGCAUUUUUACCUUGGUACAUGGCAUCUCAUCAGUUAUCUGAAUAAUAAAUAAGCAUGCAGUACAAGGGCACUUUUACCUUGGGACAUGGCCAGGGGUGUAUGUGGUCCAUUUUUCCUGUCAUUAAGAAGUGCUGUUGAAGCCUCUUUCUUCUCACGGGCUUCACGACGUCUUUUAAGAAUAUCAUCUUUAUUGCGUGCAUAAUACUUUUUUUUCCUCUGCCUCUUCAAUUCUUCAAGGUAUGUUAUAAAUACAUACCGCAACUUAGCACAUAAGCAACAGCAAAACAGUAGAGCAAAGUAGGAACUGGUUGAUGAUAGUUACCCAAUGUCUGGUUGUUGCUUAUAUCCUGAAAUGGGGUGCGCGCCCCCGCACUAUUGGGAGAUGUCAUACCUUCACCUUCAUGUGAAUAUUCAUGCCAUUAAAUUUUGAGAAGCAUGGAAACUGUGGAAAUUAAUCAUGAACACCACCAUUAGAUGCAAACAUAGUACACUGUCCUUUCUCUUGAUAUUGUGUUUCAGCAGAGUUCUACUUUGACAUUAAAAUCAAUUUUGAAUGGCAGAUCCCCUUAUUGGACCACAUUAAGUUGUUGGCCCUGCUAUUUAACGUCCAUGGUGAUGCUGAUGAUGAUCUUGGCAGGGAUUUAUGUAUCUGCCUGGGGUCUUGGCAUGUCCUUGAGCACGCAUCAGGUGAAAGGAAGAAGUUGAACCUGAAGAAGGGCAGGGAAGAAUUAUAGCUUUGUGUGGCCGGCUGGUUCAGGGGACGUGCAGGGCGGGCGCGGCUCCGCGGGUGCCGAGGCAGGCUCCUGGGUGGCUAUCUCGCGGAUGGGCCACACUGCAAGGGCAGAUUUAUGUAUCUGCCUGGGGUCUUGGCAUGUCCUUGAGCACGCAUCAGGUGAAAGGAAGAAGUUGAACCUGAAGAAGGGUAGGGAAGAAUUAUAGCUUUGUGUGGCCGGCUGGUUCAGGGGACGUGCAGGGCGGGCGCGGCUCCGCGGGUGCCGAGGCAGGCUCCUGGGCAGUGGCUAUCUUGCGGAUGGGCCACACUGCAAGGGCAGGUUCGUGGGCGCCCGCUAUCUCGCUGACGGAUUACACGCUGUGAGCAGCAACAAUCGGCGGUGGCGAUCUUGCAGGGAGGCGACCGAGCGGUGCAGUGCCGCGAGGUAUCGAUGCGGGCAGGAGACGGGGUUGGUGGGAGGCACCCUGAUCAAGGGCGAGGGAAGCUAAUUUAGUUGAGUUUCCUUAUUAGUUUGCGAUCACAAUUGCGUGUGUAGGGGACGUGGGCUGGUACUUGGAAUAUUCCUCCGGUGGUGGAGUACGGUCAGUCAUAGGAAUUUGCUAAGUGCACAUCGUAGAGGUAUUAGAUCAAUGAUGGCUGUUAGAUUAGGACAUGUGGGACUAAUUGUGUGGUGUUGAUUGGUUCGUAUGUUUUGUGGUACUAAUUUUUGGGUGCACAUAAGAAAGUUCUUGUUUGAUUGUUUAAUAGUAGUGGAG